CUGAGAGACAAAAUGGUGGCAGGUGUGUUGCCUUUCAAGGUAGUCUGUGGUGGGUUGCUGUUGCCUGGCUGCCCUGCUGUGGCAGUUCAGCUGGCAGUGUCAGAGGGGGCACUUCAGGGAAUGCUGCCACUGGAAGGGGAAGGGAGAUCCAGGGGAGGAUGGUGUGCAUGGUAAGCACAGUGAUUCAUGCUGGUUGUGCUUUGCUCAGAGCUGUGUGAUAGAGGAGAUGACCAGACUGGUCAUGGCCAUGUGUGUAGGGUUUCACAGGGGUAGGGAGCUGGCAAGCAUUAUGUGCAGGGAUGUGAGCAGAGAAGGGAUGGGGAGGCUGGACCCCACCUCAAUACCGACCUGGACUUUGAAGAGGUAUGGGACACGAGAUUGUGGGUACCCUGGGGCAUGAUGCGAAGGUGUGCCUCCCCAUGACCUUGUGGAGGCAUGCUGGUAAACACGGGGGAGGUUGGCCUUUCCUGUUCAGAUAGGCUUUCUCAGAAAUCUGGGCUCAAAGACUGUUCAGAGAUUACUUCUGUACUUCUGCAGGACUUGACUGAGGACAGUUAAGCAGACAGGUUUCCUAGAAAGGCUGUGCAGUCUCCACCCUUGGAUAUUUUCAAGACCUGGCUAACUAAAGCUGUAAGUAACUUGACCUGAUCUCACAGCUGACCCUGUUUCAAGCAGGAGAUUGGACUGGAGCCUCCUGAGUCUCCCCCCAGUCUGACAUCUAUGACCCUUGACUAUAACCCUUGACCUUGUGCACACGGAAGAGCAGUUGCUAUUUCUUUGUCAUUUCACUGUAACACCCGCACAGAGCCAAGCACUUCCACAUGGACAAAGUUUCCAGACUUAAGUUUCCAACCCUCAUGGCCAUCAAGAGAAAUUUGAAAACAAAAAUGUUGCAGAUGCAGUGACAGUCACACACACUUAAUAAUGAAGCCAGUUGCUUCUAUUCAUCCCUGUGAAGGAAGGCAGAGAUUACUCUCCUUUCAUUGCAGCACAUCAAGAGACCAAGCAGUUCUGACCUCUGUUGGACUUCAAAAGGAGCCUAUGUGUGUGCAUUGCUGGCUCUUCUGGAUCAGGAGCAAGGCCUUUUUCAGUCAGAUCUAUUCUCAGCUCUGGACACAGAAGAAAAGCAGUUGUUGCCACAAGCCACAAGGUGCUGCUGAUAUUGUUAAGAUUUUUACCUGACUGGGUUGUGGUUGAUCCUUGUCUCUCUGCUACAGAACAUCAUUUCUAGGAGCUGGAGACCAACAUUCAAUAGGACCAUGCUCUUCAGCUCUGGGAUGGACAGAAGCGGGUACAGGGGAAUUUGUAUACAUAUGAAGACCUUAGUUUGUCAUGCUGUGCUGAGAGCUUGCAUACAUUUCAGACUACUAGCAUACAGCCUUUAAGGCCAAGUGUGCAGAAAACAGAAAACUGUUUCUGUCAAUGACUGGCAAACCAGCAUGAUGCAAGGGAUUUCAUCACUGAGAUCAUCACAGGAGCAGUAGUCACUGCCAUGGUGCAUACCUCUUAUCCCUUCAUGCUGUGCCUCCAUGGCACUGCAUACCUUGUAGCUUUCCAGAAACUAGCAGUUUCACCCAAAAUAGCUUCUGCAGCUGCUGGAGCUGUGGCUCUAAAAAUUGUCAACCUGAGCUGAUGACACACCAAAUGAAUAAAAAGGGGCCCUAUACCA
rnacentral:lncRNA from 1 species